GACGAACGCUGGCGGCAUGCCUAACACAUGCAAGUCGAACGGAGCCAAUCAAAAGAUCCCUUCGGGGUGAAUUUGAGGAAGCUUAGUGGCGGACGGGUGAGUAACGCGUGAGUAACCUGCCUUUCAGAGGGGGAUAACGUUCCGAAAGGAACGCUAAUACCGCAUAACGUAUUUUUACCGCAUGAUAGAAAUACCAAAGAUUUAUCGCUGAAAGAUGGACUCGCGUCUGAUUAGCUAGUUGGAGGGGUAACGGCCCACCAAGGCGACGAUCAGUAGCCGAACUGAGAGGUUGAUCGGCCACAUUGGGACUGAGAUACGGUCCAGACUCCUACGGGAGGCAGCAGUGGGGAAUAUUGGGCAAUGGGCGAAAGCCUGACCCAGCGACGCCGCGUGAAGGAAGAAGGUCUUCGGAUUGUAAACUUCUUUUAUCAGGGACGAAUACUGACGGUACCUGAUGAAUAAGCCACGGCUAACUACGUG
rnacentral:rRNA from 1 species